GUCACAUUCCCCUAGGAUGUCGCCUCCGUCGAGGGUGUCACUUCCGUUAAGGGUGUCACAUUUCCCAGUGAUGUCGCCUCUGUCGAGGGUGUCACCUCCCUACAUGAGAUCACCGUCUCCUGCGUCCGGACACCUCCCACGUGGAUCUGCUGUACAUAGUCAGAGUGCUUUCAUCGAUGACAUGUUCUGACUUAUGAUGGAGAUCAGAGGCGACGUAGCAGACUUACGAGGCGAAGUAGCUGACUUACGACAUGAUGUCGGGAUAGUACAAGUCGGUUUAAGAGAGCUUUAUGCUUGGAUCGUAGCGAUACGGGGCGACAUAGCAGGCCUGCGUGGGACUGGCGGGUAUCAAAGUGGGACUGGUGAGUAUCGGGAUCGGGGGGUGGUGGAGGGACUGGUGGUUAUCAGGGUCGAGGGGAUAUGUUGACUCGUUGUGGGCAUCGGAUGAUGCAUUAGCUUCAUAUCUCGGUGGCCCGAUAAAGAUGGAGAUGGAGGAUCAUGCCCUGAUGGAGAUGGAGGCAGAGGGAAUACUUGAGGUGGAAAGGGUGCCGGAGAAGGUCAUGAGGGUGUCGGGGGAGGGGGUACCUGAAGUGAAAAAUUGAAGAGGGUGCCGGAGGAAGAGGAGGUCGUGAGGGUGCCAGAGGACGGGGGGUACCCGAGAAUGAGGUCGAGAGGGUUUCGGAGGAGAAGGUCAUGAGGGUAUCGGUGGAGGACGGGGUACUCGGGGCGGAAGUCGAAAGGGUGCCAGAGGAGGAGGAGGUCGUGAGGGUGUCAGAGGACAAUGAAGUACUUAAGGCGGAGGUCGGGAGGAUGCCGGAGGAGGAGGUCGUGAG
rnacentral:lncRNA from 1 species